UAGGGAAUCUUCGGCAAUGGGGGGAACCCUGACCGAUCAACGCCGCGUGAGUGAAGAAGGUUUUCGGAUCGUAAAGCUCUGUUGUUAAGGAAGAACGAGUGUGAGAAUGGAAAGUUCAUGCUGUGACGGUACUUAACCAGAAAGGGACGGCUAACUACGUGCCAGCAGCCGCGGUAAUACGUAGGUGGCAAGCGUUGUCCGGAAUUAUUGGGCGUAAAGCGCGCGCAGGUGGUUUAGAAAGUCUGAUGUGAAAGCCCACGGCUCAACCGUGGAGGGUCAUUGGAAACUAAUAAACUUGAGUGCAGGAGAGAAAAGUGGAAUUCCUAGUGUAGCGGUGAAAUGCGUAGAGAUUAGGAGGAACACCGGUGGCGAAAGCGGCUUUUUGGCCUGCAACUGACACUGAGGCGCGAAAGCGUGGGGAGCAAACAGG
rnacentral:rRNA from 1 species